UGGGGGAGGAAACACAUCGUGCAAUGUUUGAGUGAUUUUCCACUGCGGUCUAUAUUGGGAUGCAGCUCCGGCUCUCUGCAACAGGGCCACCAACAUCUUUACUCAGGAACAACAGGUGUUUUAGCAGAAAGUAAAACAUUAGAUGGACAAAAGGACAAUUAUAAUAUACGUUUCUUGGAAUUCCUUGCUCAACACUGACUGACGCUGGACACCCUAAAUUCUCCAAGAUUUGGGAGAAUAACAGCAGUACUGAACAAUUACAGGGCACCGACUGCACUAAUACUGACCAUUCCAGCAGGGUCAGGGUGUCAGGAUCCUUCACAUUGCCUACCAGCACUGUCAUCUCCCAGUGGGAGCCAGGCACAGCACGAUCAGAUGACCAGGGAGGCAGCAGGAAAACAGGUGAUCUCGCUCUUCUUCCCUCUCUGUGUGUACAAGGAGCCCGGCAUAAAUGAGCUUUACAACAGCCACCAGCCAUUGCUUAUUUUUCUCUGAGCAAUCAUCAAUAUCAGCAUCAAGUGGUGCAGUGGCUCCACAAUGAGUCGUGGCAGCAGAGUGAGCCCAGCAUGCAAACAUUUUGGCUAAUUUAAAAUCCUCACGCAGCCGAAUCAAACAUGACAAGACGAUGGCAAGAAGAGAGGCUAUUAUCCCAAAUGAGAGUUGGUAGAUGGCUGAAAUUGGUUUGAGUGGCAGAGACAAAAGAGGGGCAAAGAAGAGAAAUAACUGAGAAUGAUAAUCCCAGAUAAGACAGGCUGCUAUACAUACGGGUGUACCAACAAAAAGACACACACACACACACUCAGAGCAGAAACACAAUUGCUUUCAAGCUGUAGUACUGGAUGGAUCAAGCAGGCAACCAGCUUAUAAUAAAAAUAAAUACUAAAUAAAAUUACAUAUGAUAAGCAUUUAUUCAGUCACAGGUAAAGAUAUAUUUUAUUUAAAAAAAUAAAAAGUGCUACUUCAUUAAACACACCAAUGAUAAGAAAACAAAACAGCAUCAUUACUGAUAUGGAGAAAGAUUUUAGUAAUAGAAGAUCAAACCAGCCACAACAUUCCCUUAUGCCAAAGCCUAAUGAAGAGCAAGGUCUUAACUCUCUCCAAUUCUAUGAAGGCUGAGAGAGGUAAGAAGUUGCAGAAGAAAAGAUGGGAGCCAGCACAGGUUGGUUUAUGAGGUUUAAGAACCCAUCCCCAUGACAUAAAAGUGCAACGUGAAGCAGCAAGUGCUCAUUUCAAAGCUGCAGCAAAUUAUCCAGAGAAAAUCCUACUAGGAUCAUUGAUGAAGGUGGCUACACUAAACAAGAGAUUUUUAACUCUUUCUCUAGAAAUUUCUAAUUUUUAGAAUACUAAAACUGUCAUUUCAUGUUCGAAUAAAUGUGCUGAUGUCUAAUAGCCAUGACUAUAAGGAAGAAGGGAAGUUGCUGAUUUAGGACUGGCAAAUUUUGAGUUAAAGAUAGGCCAGUGAGUUGAUGCUGAGAAUCCAAGAUACCUUGGUCAUCAAGAGAAUCCAGGGGAGAGGGCUGGAGAUGAGGAAUUCUGCAUGCCAGGCGACAGGGAGCUAAAAAAGCAGGCUGAUGGGAUCCUGAGCCACGAACCUUGACCACAGCUUACGGUGCUGUGGCUUCCAGCCUGUGGAAAGAAGACACAUGGGGAGCUGUCUUUUUUAAGAUUAAGAACUUAAAAGGGCUGAAAUGAAUUUUGUCUAAUAGCUAUGGGUGCAGACUUUUCACAAAGUAGGUUACAAGGUCAGCCAGCUUUCAGAAGCUGUACAUUGUGAGGUGUUUUUGUCGUCGUCAUUCCAAUAGAGAGAGGAGAUUUAGAGUGGCAUGCAGCGAGAGCCCAAAAUGCAUGUAGCUGAAAGUCUCCCUACCACAGCGUACGCUUGGGAGAUGAGCUUUUCUUUAGUCUGUUCCCCACAAUCACGUCUUAGAUAACUGCACAUGAGAAGGCAUGAAAUGGAGAUUCAAGCCUCCAUGACAGCUGGCUCUUGCAUUCUGUCUGCACGCAGCUGCUGAAACACCUUUUUCUUGCCUUAGUCCUCCUCUUAGCCAAGCACCUGAAGCCAGCAACUGCAAGGCAAGAGUGAGAUCAUUAUGUGUUCACUCAUACCAUACAUUCUCAAUAUCAGGUAAAAACUGGUUCUUACGUUGGUAACGAUGAAACAGGCUCUAGUGUGGCAACAAAAAUUGGGUUUAAUUGGUUUUUCAAUCUCCCAGUGUUGUCUUUAAUACAUGAAGAUCACACCACUGACAAUUAGCAUUUAUACACGUUGUCAUUUUUCCCUAGUUUUGAUAACGCCUUCGAAACACUGACACUCCCUUUUCUGAUACUGUAGUGACUAGAGGCACACAAGGGUAAGACAUUUAAUGAAUUUUAGAGGAAUACAGUGAUUCUUUUUCUUUCUUUCUUUUUUUUUUUUGAGGAGUUGUCUCACUCUGUCACCCAGGGUAGAGUGCAGUGGUGUGAUCUCAACUCACUGCAACCUCCACCUCCCAGGUUCAAGCCAUUCUCCUGCCUCAGCCUCCCGAGUAGCUGGGACUACAGGUGCACACCACCACACCUAGCUAAUUUUUAAAUAUUUUCAGUAGACACAGGGUUUCACGGUGUUAGCUUCCCAAAGUGCUGGGAUUACAGGCAUGAGCCACCACGCCCUGUUCAGUGAUUUUGUUUUUUAAGAGGAUAAACAACUGGCCUCGCCGGGAUCAAAUUCCUGACUUUAGCCUCAACUCACCAUGCUCUAAGCAAGUAAAUUUACCUUAAAUAACAACUGUUUAAGGUGAAAAUAAUUGUUAAGUAAUUAUAUAGGCAUACCUCGGGGAAAAUAUGGGUUUGGCUCCAGUCCAC